rnacentral:rRNA from 1 species
UAAUGCCUAGGAAUCUGCCUGGUAGUGGGGGACAACGUUUCGAAAGGAACGCUAAUACCGCAUACGUCCUACGGGAGAAAGCAGGGGACCUUCGGGCCUUGCGCUAUCAGAUGAGCCUAGGUCGGAUUAGCUAGUUGGUGAGGUAAUGGCUCACCAAGGCGACGAUCCGUAACUGGUCUGAGAGGAUGAUCAGUCACACUGGAACUGAGACACGGUCCAGACUCCUACGGGAGGCAGCAGUGGGGAAUAUUGGACAAUGGGCGAAAGCCUGAUCCAGCCAUGCCGCGUGUGUGAAGAAGGUCUUCGGAUUGUAAAGCACUUUAAGUUGGGAGGAAGGGCAUUAACCUAAUACGUUAGUGUUUUGACGUUACCGACAGAAUAAGCACCGGCUAACUCUGUGCCAGCAGCCGCGGUAAUACAGAGGGUGCAAGCGUUAAUCGGAAUUACUGGGCGUAAAGCGCGCGUAGGUGGUUUGUUAAGUUGGAUGUGAAAGCCCCGGGCUCAACCUGGGAACUGCAUUCAAAACUGACAAGCUAGAGUAUGGUAGAGGGUGGUGGAAUUUCCUGUGUAGCGGUGAAAUGCGUAGAUAUAGGAAGGAACACCAGUGGCGAAUGCGACCACCUGGACUGAUACUGACACUGAUGUGCGAAAGCGUGGGGAGCAAACAGGAUUAGAUACCCUGGUA